rnacentral:rRNA from 1 species
GAUGAACGCUGGCGGCGUGCCUAAUACAUGCCAGUCGAGCGAACAGAUAAGGAGCUUGCUCCUUUGACGUUAGCGGCGGACGGGUGAGUAAGACGUGGGUAACCUACCUAUAUGACUGGGAUAACUUCGGGAAACCGGAGCUAAUACCGGAUAAUAUUUCGAACCGCAUGGUUCGAUAGUGAAUGAUGGUUUUGCUAUCACUUAUAGAUGGACCCGCGCCGUAUUAGCUAGUUGGUAAGGUAACGGCUUACCAAGGCGACGAUACGUAGCCGACCUGAGAGGGUGAUCGGCCACACUGGAACUGAGACACGGUCCAGACUCCUACGGGAGGCAGCAGUAGGGAAUCUUCCGCAAUGGGCGAAAGCCUGACGGAGCAACGCCGCGUGAGUGAUGAAGGUCUUCGGAUCGUAAAACUCUGUUAUUAGGGAAGAACAUACGUGUAAGUAACUGUGCACGUCUUGACGGUACCUAAUCAGAAAGCCACGGCUAACUACGUG